ACUGCCACACCCUCCUGCCUUCCCCCAGAGGCCGCCGCUCCUCCGCCUCCCCCGGGGUUGGAGUCCACCUGCUCUCCAUCCUGCCCCCAUCAUUUCCGCUCCCUGACAGCUGCCCCCCACCCCUUCCCUGCAGCUCUGCCCAAUGCCAGCCUCUUAAGCCAGAGGACAGACAUGUCCUCGCCUCACCGACAGCCCCUCCAGAGUUCCGGGCCCCAAAUUCCCGUCCAGCUUCUACCCCACUGUUGCCGCUGCACUUCCAGUCCAGGCCAGUCUCACCAGGGAAGCGAGACCCAGGAUCUUGUCACAGAGUCACAGCUGAGGCUGUGAACAACAGGUCCAUCCAACUCCCCACCACCGUGCGCGACAUCAUGGACCGCUGGACCCUGCAGAUGGGCUUCCCGGUCAUCACGGUGGAUACCAGCACGGGGACCCUUUCCCAGGAGCACUUCCUCCUUGACCCCGAUUCCAAUGUUACCCGCCCCUCAGAAUUCAACUACGUGUGGAUUGUGCCCAUCACAUCCAUCAGAGAUGGCAGACAGCAGCCGGACUACUGGCUGAUGGAUGUAAGAGCCCAGAACAAUCUCUUCAGAACAUCAGGCAAUGAGUGGGUCCUGCUGAACCUCAAUGUGACGGGCUAUUACCAGGUGAACUAUGACGAAGAGAACUGGAGGAAGAUUCAGACUCAGCUGCAGACAGACCACUUGGCCAUCCCUGUCAUCAAUCGGGCACAGAUCAUUAAUGACGCCUUCAACCUGGCCAGUGCCCAUAAGGUCCCUGUCACUCUGGCGCUGAACAACACCCUCUUCCUGAUUGAAGAGACAGAGUACAUGCCCUGGGAGGCCGCCCUGAGCAGCAUGAGCUACUUCAAGCUCAUGUUCGACCGCUCCGAGGUCUAUGGCCCCAUGAAG
rnacentral:sRNA from 1 species